GGAAGAGAACAGGGCAUUCUGUCUCUGUUACCAUGGAUUGGGAACAUUUAGCAGAGGACAUUUGAGCUGGACCAGGGAUGGAUAAGGUGAAGGACUUCCCAGGAGAGGGAACAGCAGAGACAAACAGGAGUCCACAGCACACCAAGCUUGUGGAUCAGAUAUGAGCUCUCAGCCCUGCUUCAGCACCAUACUUGCCUGCCACCAUUCUUCCUGCCACAAUCAUGGACUGACCCUCUGCAACUGUAGUUCCAGUAAAGCCUUUAAAGGGCUGAUGGCUCGAUGGUUUGGGCCACCUUGAUGUGCCAAGGGCUAGCGAGAUGGUCCAGUGGUUAAGAGCACGUGCUGCUCUUGCGGAAGAUGGGGAUUUGGUUCCCAGCACCCACACGGUGACGUACAACCAUCAGUAACUCCAGUGCCAGGGAAUCCAAUGCCACUUCUGACCUCUGAAGGCACUGUGUGCAUGUGGUGCAUGUGUGAGGGUCUAGCAGAAGACAGAAGAGGGCGUGGGUCCCCUGGAGCCGUCUGACCUGGGUGUUGGAAACUGACCUCUGGUCCUCCGAAAGAGCAGCAAAGCGUUCUACCAGCUGAGAGGUCUUCAGACCAGCAGCACCGUCUUUGGUUCUUCAUUCUAGCUCCAUUUUAACAAGGAGGGAUUUAUAGAAAUGUUUGGAGGGAGGAAAGGGAAGGGAGAAAAUGAUGUAAUUUUAUUAAAAUCUCAGAGAAA